AUCACUUCUCGGCCUUUUGGCUAAGAUCAAGUGUAGUAUAAUGUGGAUAUUGUGAGGCUGGAAUAUUGUUAAAUUAAGAUUGGUGGUAAAUUCUC
rnacentral:snRNA from 1 species